rnacentral:rRNA from 1 species
UACGGAGGGGGCUAGCGUUGUUCGGAAUUACUGGGCGUAAAGCGCGCGUUGGCGGCUUUGUAAGUUAGAGGUGAAAGCCCAGGGCUUAACCCUGGAAUUGCCUUUAAGACUGCAUCGCUAGAAUCGUGGAGAGGUGAGUGGAAUUCCGAGUGUAGAGGUGAAAUUCGUAGAUAUUCGGAAGAACACCAGUGGCGAAGGCGACUCACUGGACACGUAUUGACGCUGAGGUGCGAAAGCGUGGGGAGCAAACAGG